rnacentral:rRNA from 1 species
UACGUAGGGUGCGAGCGUUGUCCGGAAUUAUUGGGCGUAAAGAGCUCGUAGGCGGUCCGUCACGUCGGGCGUGAAAAUCAGGGCUCAACCCUGGACCUGCGCCCGAUACGGGCGGACUAGAGUUCGGUAGGGGAGACUGGAAUUCCUGGUGUAGCGGUGAAAUGCGCAGAUAUCAGGAGGAACACCGGUGGCGAAGGCGGGUCUCUGGGCCGAUACUGACGCUGAGGAGCGAAAGCGUGGGGAGCGAACAGG